UUAGAAUAUUCUCGUCACCUCCAUGUACAAGAUGCUGAUCCUGAGAACACUCCCCAAUAAACUUCGUGCACCCACAUCUCCAUCUCAAGAUGGAGAUAGCGUCUCCUUCUUAUGACACUGACUGAAUUGAUUUGGUGCCACUAUUUUUCAUCAUUCCCCUUUUCCUUGACUUGAAAGGACUCCUCUGUGGAAAAGGUGGACAGAGAGAAUCUGCUGCCCAGCUCUCUGCCAACGAUAGGUAGUAUCAGAUGGCAGGAUCAGAAAUGAUGAGUCUCCUGCCAACCCAUCCCCAAGCCUAAAUUGCCAUCUGUCUCCUUUCCCUACUCCACGGUGGAGAGGAAAGUGUAAAAGCACCACUUCCUUACUAAUGAACUAGUAAGAAACUACCCAAAGCAUGUACUCUGAUAUAAUUAUUUUAAAAACAUGUGUUACGGGCUGAAUUGUAUCCCUUCCCCAAAAAUUCAUAUGUUGAAGUCUUAACUCCCAGUACCUCUGUGACUGUAUUUGGAGACAGAGUCUUUAAAGAGACAAUUAAAGUUAAAUGAGGUCAUUUGGGUGGACUCUAAUCCAAUAUGAUUGGUGUCCUUAUAAGAGGAAAUUACGACACAGACACGUAUAGCAGGCAGACCAUGUGAAGACAUAGGGAGAAGAUGGUCAUCUACAAGCCAAGGAGAGAGGCCUCAGGAAAAACCACCCCUGCUGACACGUUGAUCUCAGACUUCUAACCUGAAGAAUCGUGAGAAAAUAAAUUUCUGUUGUUUAAACCACCCAUCCUGUGGUACUUUGUUAUGGAGCCCCAGCAAACUAAUACAACACGAAAUCAUAAAACUUGUGGAUUUUGUUUCAUGCCCUUUAAAUGCCCUGGGCAUACCUAAGAAGCCCAGAUAUGGGCAUCUUCAGGAGGGCUCCAGCAUGUCUCUAGGCUGUGUGAAUUCUUCAUGCCUUUUUGUUUCUUUGCACCAUUUUUGUUUCCAUGUCUUUAUUUCUGCUUGAUGUGGGUACCUCGAAUUGAGCAGAUGGUUUGAGAGUGUUUCCUCCAGCCCCAACCUGGUCCUCCUGAAUGCACCUUCUCUUGUUUUGAUGCUGUUGUUUUGCUGAUUUCCUUAUCCUGUACCCUGAACCUCAGGCCCCAGGAAAAUAUUCUGGCCAGGCUUCUACUAAUCUAGCCUUUCCUGAAAGAGUAGAUGGGCUAAAUAUCAUAGAAGCUGCACAUAGCUCAGACAGCCUGAGUUACCAACUGGGGAUUAAGCACAUUGAUUUUAUUCUGACUCCUCACCUAGAAAUUUAGAAAAUAGACCUUAUGGAUAGCAUAGUGCUUCCUAGAUGUAAGGUAUUAAACUGUAAUGUAUCAAAAAUAUUUAAGAGAAGAAAAAAGUUAAUAAACGUAUAGUCCAGAAGAGAAUAAUCACUGUGACAAUUCCCAUUGUCCCAGGGAUCCCUUUCUGUGACACUUUACAGCCUCCAUCCAGUCUUCUCCAGGCACUCUGAUGAUCAAAUCUUCUCAGAUGAUGGCCUCCUGGCACCAUCAUGCUUCUGUCAUCCCACACCUGGACCACCAGAGAUGCUUGGGAGCCCCUGAGGGGCCUGGACUAUGUGGUGGUCUAUAGCACAAAUCAUGCUUAAAGAGCAUCAAAUCUGUGCUGCCCACACAGACACUCUCAGCUUCGGGUGUAACAGUGGUUUAGUUGCUUCACUGCCAGCUGCUCUCCUCGCCCUUGGACUCAGUCAAGGUUCAGGGACAGAGUUGAGUGACAGCUUCUGCUCUGUGCUCCCUUCUGAUGACUAAGGCUUUGUUUCUGGGUCAAGAUCGUCAGGGCUCCUCUCUCCCUUAGGGGAAGGUUUCUCCUAGUUCACUACUCAGUCCCUCAUGCAAAGAGACUUCUGAUAGGCUGUCCUGCUCGCUGUCCAAACAUGCCUGAGAGAGCUGAGUGCUAGGUUCUGGACACACCAGGGGCUUCUAGUCUUCAGCGCCUCAACCCACAGGCCCCUCACAUACGUCUAGAGAGAGUGAGCUACAGACGAAAGAAAAAUAAAGAAAACACAGUUGCUCCUUUAAGGAGAAGCUGAAAUACUGGCCGUACCCUCUUCUGGAUAUUCUGUGUUGCUCUUGCCCCUGUUGUCUGGUCUGAGAUUGGACAUCCAACUUUUGCCUCAUUAUCACAGAUGAUUCUAUUGCCUCUUGUUUACCAGAGAAUGGCCAUGACAUCCUAGUUCUAUCACCUAAGUGCCCCGUGCCUGUAGAUUUCCUGUCAGCUGAGUCUCUCUUAAAAAAUCCAUGUUGUUCUGUUCUGGUUGGCACCUGAAUUCCCUCAGCGCACCUUGAUUAUGCGAGGAAUUUGAAAGCUUUUACGGUGACAAUAGUCUCCUCUUGCUUAAAGCCCAAAUGAAAAGUGAACACUUCUGAAUGGUUUAGUUUAGAAACCCCAUAUCUGAUUUGACGUGGCAUAGAUUGAAUAAAAAUAUGAUGUGUAAGAUGACAUUACAUUUUGGACCAGAGAAAGAAUUAUCUUGUACAGGGUUAUUCAAGAGUUUGCAUCAGCAAGUCCUUCAAAUACAUUAUCUGGAUCCUCCGCUGGCCAGAAAUGACUUUGUUAAAUAAAAUCUUCCUUGAAAUAAAUGGUAGUUUCUAUAUUUUCUCUUUUUACUCGUAUGUAAAUCUGAAGAGCUGCUGUUAUUAAAACAAGAGUCUAAA